GGUUAAGCGACUAAGCGUACACGGUGGAUGCCUAGGCAGUCAGAGGCGAUGAAGGGCGUGCUAAUCUGCGAUAAGCGUCGGUAAGCUGAUAUGAAGCGUUAUACCCGACGAUACCCGAAUGGGGAAACCCAGUGUGUUUCGACACACUAUCAUGGCAUGAAUACAUAGUGUCAUGAGGCGAACCGGGGGAACUGAAACAUCUCAGUACCCCGAGGAAAAGAAAUCAACCGAGAUUCCCCCAGUAGCGGCGAGCGAACGGGGAGGAGCCCAGAACCUGAAUCAGUUUGUGUGUUAGUGGAAGCGUCUGGAAAGUCGCACAGUAAAGGGUGAUAGUCCCGUACACAAAAAUGCACAAGUUGUGAGUUCGAUGAGUAGGGCGGGACACGUGACAUCCUGUCUGAAUAUGGGGGGACCAUCCUCCAAGGCUAAAUACUCCUGACUGACCGAUAGUGAACCAGUACCGUGAGGGAAAGGCGAAAAGAACCCCGGCGAGGGGAGUGAAAUAGAACCUGAAACCGUGUACGUACAAGCAGUGGGAGCCUACUUGUUAGGUGACUGCGUACCUUUUGUAUAAUGGGUCAGCGACUUAUAUUCUGUAGCAAGGUUAACCGUAUAGGGGAGCCGCAGGGAAACCGAGUCUUAACUGGGCGUUAAGUUGCAGGGUAUAGACCCGAAACCCGGUGAUCUAGCCAUGGGCAGGUUGAAGGUUGGGUAACACUAACUGGAGGACCGAACCGACUAAUGUUGAAAAAUUAGCGGAUGACUUGUGGCUGGGGGUGAAAGGCCAAUCAAACCGGGAGAUAGCUGGUUCUCCCCGAAAGCUAUUUAGGUAGCGCCUCGUGAAUUCAUCUUCGGGGGUAGAGCACUGUUUCGGCUAGGGGGUCAUCCCGACUUACCAACCCGAUGCAAACUACGAAUACCGAAGAAUGUUAUCACGGGAGACACACGGCGGGUGCUAACGUUCGUCGUGAAGAGGGAAACAACCCAGACCGCCAGCUAAGGUCCCAAAGUCAUGGUUAAGUGGGAAACGAUGUGGGAAGGCAUAGACAGCCAGGAUGUUGGCUUAGAAGCAGCCAUCAUUUAAAGAAAGCGUAAUAGCUCACUGGUCGAGUCGGCCUGCGCGGAAGAUGUAACGGGGCUAAACCAUGCACCGAAGCUGCGGCAGCGACACUUAGGUGUUGUUGGGUAGGGGAGCGUUCUGUAAGCCUGCGAAGGUGGCCUGUGAGGGCUGCUGGAGGUAUCAGAAGUGCGAAUGCUGACAUAAGUAACGAUAAUGCGGGUGAAAAACCCGCACGCCGGAAGACCAAGGGUUCCUGUCCAACGUUAAUCGGGGCAGGGUGAGUCGACCCCUAAGGCGAGGCUGAAAAGCGUAGUCGAUGGGAAACAGGUUAAUAUUCCUGUACUCGGUGUUACUGCGAAGGGGGGACGGAGAAAGCUAGGUUAUCCGGGCGACGGUUGUCCCGGUUUAAGCGUGAAGGUGGAUGGCUUUGGUAAAUCCGGGUCAUCGUUAACACUGAGGCGUGAUGACGAGUCACUACGGUGAUGAAGUAACCGAUGCUACGCUUCCAGGAAAAGCCUCUAAGCUCCAGGUAACAUCAAAUCGUACCCCAAACCGACACAGGUGGUCAGGUAGAGAAUACUCAGGCGCUUGAGAGAACUCGGGUGAAGGAACUAGGCAAAAUGGUGCCGUAACUUCGGGAGAAGGCACGCUGAUGGUAGGUGAAGUGACUUGCUCAUGGAGCUGAAAUCAGUCGAAGAUACCAGCUGGCUGCAACUGUUUAAUAAAAACACAGCACUGUGCAAACACGAAAGUGGACGUAUACGGUGUGACGCCUGCCCGGUGCCGGAAGGUUAAUUGAUGGGGUCAGCCGCAAGGCGAAGCUCUUGAUCGAAGCCCCGGUAAACGGCGGCCGUAACUAUAACGGUCCUAAGGUAGCGAAAUUCCUUGUCGGGUAAGUUCCGACCUGCACGAAUGGCGUAAUGAUGGCCAGGCUGUCUCCACCCGAGACUCAGUGAAAUUGAACUCGCUGUGAAGAUGCAGUGUACCCGCGGCAAGACGGAAAGACCCCGUGAACCUUUACUAUAGCUUGACACUGAACCUUGAGCCUUGAUGUGUAGGAUAGGUGGGAGGCUUUGAAGCGUGGACGCCAGUCUGCGUGGAGCCAACCUUGAAAUACCACCCUUUAAUGUUUGAUGUUCUAACGUGGACCCGUGAUCCGGGUUGCGGACAGUGUCUGGUGGGUAGUUUGACUGGGGCGGUCUCCUCCCAAAGCGUAACGGAGGAGCACGAAGGUUAGCUAAUCCUGGUCGGACAUCAGGAGGUUAGUGCAAAGGCAUAAGCUAGCUUGACUGCGAGAGUGACAGCUCGAGCAGGUGCGAAAGCAGGUCUUAGUGAUCCGGUGGUUCUGAAUGGAAGGGCCAUCGCUCAACGGAUAAAAGGUACUCCGGGGAUAACAGGCUGAUACCGCCCAAGAGUUCAUAUCGACGGCGGUGUUUGGCACCUCGAUGUCGGCUCAUCACAUCCUGGGGCUGAAGUAGGUCCCAAGGGUAUGGCUGUUCGCCAUUUAAAAGUGGUACGCGAGCUGGGUUUAGAACGUCGUGAGACAGUUCGGUCCCUAUCUGCCGUGGGCGUUGGAAGAUUGAGAGGGGUUGCUCCUAGUACGAGAGGACCGGAGUGAACGCACCACUGGUGUACGGGUUGUGAUGCCAAUUGCAUUGCCCGGUAGCUAAGUGCGGAAGAGAUAACCGCUGAAAGCAUCUAAGCGGGAAACUUGCCUCGAGAUGAGUCUUCCCUGGACACUUGAUGUCCCUGAAGGGCCGUUGAAGACGACGACGUAGAUAGGCUGGGUGUGUAAGCGUAGCGAUACGUUGAGCUAACCAGUACUAAUGACCCGAGAGGCUUAACCU
rnacentral:rRNA from 1 species